CUAAGCAUCAGGUAACAUCAAAUCGUACCCCAAACCGACACAGGUGGUCAGGUAGAGAAUACCAAGGCGCUUGAGAGAACUCGGGUGAAGGAACUAGGCAAAAUGGUGCCGUAACUUCGGGAGAAGGCACGCUGACAUGUAGGUGAAGCCCCUGCGGGUGGAGCUGAAGUCAGUCGAAGAUACCAGCUGGCUGCAACUGUUUAUUAAAAACACAGCACUGUGCAAACACGAAAGUGGACGUAUACGGUGUGACGCCUGCCCGGUGCCGGAAGGUUAAUUGAUGGGGUUAUCGCAAGAGAAGCUCCUGAUCGAAGCCCCGGUAAACGGCGGCCGUAACUAUAACGGUCCUAAGGUAGCGAAAUUCCUUGUCGGGUAAGUUCCGACCUGCACGAAUGGCGUAAUGAUGGCCAGGCUGUCUCCACCCGAGACUCAGUGAAAUUGAACUCGCUGUGAAGAUGCAGUGUACCCGCGGCAAGACGGAAAGACCCCGUGAACCUUUACUACAGCUUGACACUGAACAUUGAGCCUUGAUGUGUAGGAUAGGUGGGAGGCUUUGAAGCGUGGACGCCAGUCUGCGUGGAGCCGACCUUGAAAUACCACCCUUUAAUGUUUGAUGUUCUAACCUGGCGCCAUAAUCUGGCGUGGGGACAGUGUCUGGUGGGUAGUUUGACUGGGGCGGUCUCCUCCCAAAGUGUAACGGAGGAGCACGAAGGUCAGCUAAUCCUGGUCGGACAUCAGGAGGUUAGUGCAAUGGCAUAAGCUGGCUUGACUGCGAGAGUGACGGCUCGAGCAGGUGCGAAAGCAGGUCAUAGUGAUCCGGUGGUUCUGUAUGGAAGGGCCAUCGCUCAACGGAUAAAAGGUACUCCGGGGAUAACAGGCUGAUACCGCCCAAGAGUUCAUAUCGACGGCGGUGUUUGGCACCUCGAUGUCGGCUCAUCACAUCCUGGGGCUGAAGUAGGUCCCAAGGGUAUGGCUGUUCGCCAUUUAAAGUGGUACGCGAGCUGGGUUUAGAACGUCGUGAGACAGUUCGGUCCCUAUCUGCCGUGGGCGCUGGAGAAUUGAGGGGGCUGCUCCCAGUACGAGAGGACCGGAGUGGACGCAUCACUGGUGUUCGGGUUGUCAUGCCAAUGGCACUGCCCGGUAGCUAAAUGCGGAAGAGAUAAGUGCUGAAAGCAUCUAAGCACGAAACUUGCCCCGAGAUGAGUUCUCCCUGAGACUAUAAGUCUCCUGAAGGAACGUUGAAGACGACGACGUUGAUAGGCCGGGUGUGUAAGCGCAGCGAUGCGUUGAGCUAACCGGUACUAAUGAACCGUGAGGCUUAACCUU
rnacentral:rRNA from 1 species